AAACAAAUAUUACAUUAAACAAAAAUUACAUUAAACAAUUCUAAAACUCCAAAACAGCCAUUCGAAAAUUCAUAACAAUGCUGAGACCAUAUCUGGGAAACAUGAACAGUGGUGGCGCGUCUUCCCACGCGCCACCGUCACUGGCGGCGCGUGGGUUCACGCGCCGCCGCUGGAAAACCAAAAAAACAGGGGGUCUGGGGCGGCUUCCUCCUCUAUGUCUUCCUAAACCGCCGGUGACCUGCAGAACAAGAAAAUAAACACACACGGCAGUCGUUUUUAAUUUUUUUCUUUGAUUUUAAAUCUGUUUUUGUUCUUUUUUUUUCAGAUCUGCAGUUCAUCCCUUCUCCUUCUUCGGAUCUGCUUCGCUGUGAGUUAAUUGUCAAGGAUUUGGUCUUCUUCUCCUCUGCUUCGGGUGGCAGAUCGGACGGUGCUGCAGUGUCUCCGUCGCAGGAGAAGGCUGGCCGGCGAGAAGAGAGCGAGGGGGUCUUGGCUGGCGGCAGUGACUACUGCUGGAGGAAGAAGGCGGCCCGAUUUGGGUCUGUUAACGCCACUGUGUUCGGGCUGGUCGAGGUCGAUUAUGGUGGAGACCGGUGGCUGAGAGAGGAUGAAUGAGCGGCGGACCGAUCUGGGUCCGUGAGGGAGGCUGCUGCUGACGAAGAAGAACGGCUAAGAGGAGAGGCACCGUUGGCGGCUGAUAGAGCAGAGGAACGAAGGAGCGGCGGGGGAAAAUGAGGAGAAAAAAAAAUGGCCUGCUGAGAGGGAAGAGAGGAGGGUGGCUGUCUUGUGUGGUUGUUGGCAAGGGACGAAGGAACGGCUGAGGGAGAGGGAGGUCUGUUGACCGGCGGCUGAGGGGUGAGGUGACUGAAAAAGUGGCUACUUGAGAAAAAUGGGGGGAAUAAGCCGGCUCUGGUUUCUGAAGGAUGAGUAGCCGAAGGAGAAGAAAGGGAGAAACAGCCGAGAGGAGGAUCAGGGAGCUGUCUUGGAUUUUUUUCUUGUGGCCGGCGGCUGUAGAAAAAAAUUAAAACCAGGGGGGAGGGGGCGGCGGCUGCUUUAAAAAAAAUGGGUUUUAGGUUUAGGUUUUGUGUUUUUUUUUUGUGAUAUUUCAA
rnacentral:lncRNA from 1 species